ACGAACGCUGGCGGCGUGCUUAACACAUGCAAGUCGAGCGGUAAGGCCCUUUCGGGGGUACGACGAGCGGCGAACGGGUAGGAGUAACGCGUGGGUGGACCUGCCCUCCAGCUCUGGGAGUAAGACCUGGGAAACCGGGGUACGUAAUACCGGAUAUGACUCCAUGACGCAUGUUGUGGGGUGGAAAGCCUUGUGCGGCUGAGGAUGGGCCCGCGGCCUAUCAGCUUGUUGGUGGGGUGAUGGCCUACCAAGGCGACGACGGGUAGCCGGCCUGAGAGGGCGACCGGCCACACUGGGACUGAGAUACGGCCCAGACUCCUACGGGAGGCAGCAGUGGGGAAGUCUUGCGCAAUGGGCGAAAGCCUGACGCAGCGACGCCGCGUGAGGGAUGACGGCCUGUG
rnacentral:rRNA from 1 species